rnacentral:snoRNA from 1 species
AUCCCAUGGUAUGGACAUCUUCUUAGUAUUUCUUUAAAUCUCCCCUAGGCUUCACACAAGGACUCACCAUCAAAUUGUGUGAAUGAGGUGAUAUCAUUCCUCAUCUU